rnacentral:rRNA from 1 species
AUGAACGCUAGCGACAGGCCUAACACAUGCAAGUCGAGGGGCAGCACAAGGAGCAAUCUGAGGUGGCGACCGGCGCACGGGUGAGUAACACGUAUGCAACCUGCCUGUAAGCGGGGAAUAACCCGUUGAAAGACGGACUAAUACCGCAUAAUACUAAAUUACUGCAUGGUAAUUUAUUUAAACAUUUAUGGCUUACAGAUGGGCAUGCGCAUGAUUAGCUAGUUGGAGAGGUAACGGCUCCCCAAGGCAACGAUCAUUAGGGGUUCUGAGAGGAAGGUCCCCCACACUGGUACUGAGACACGGACCAGACUCCUACGGGAGGCAGCAGUGAGGAAUAUUGGUCAAUGGACGAGAGUCUGAACCAGCCAAGUCGCGUGCAGGAAGAAUGUUCCCUAUGGAUUGUAAACUGCUUUUGCAGGGGAAUAAAGUGCAUCACGUGUGAUGUUUUGUAUGUACUCUGCGAAUAAGGAUCGGCUAACUCCGUGCCAGCCGCGGC